rnacentral:rRNA from 1 species
CCCCAGGUCAAGUGGGAUUACCCACUGAGUUUAUGCAUUAAUAAGUGGAUGAAAAGACACUGACCAGGAUUCCUCUAGCAACGGUGAGUGAACCAAGAAGAGCCUAGCUUGACAAUUAAAUGCCGUUAACAUCCAAAUUGUGGUUUGGAGAAGCAUCAUCAGUGAUAGACUAAGCCUAAGUCCAUUACAAAAGGGUGUCAAAAAGGGUGAAAGCCUCAUUGUGCCUGGACCCUAUAGCACCCUGAGACGCUAUUUGCGAGUUAGGUUGUUUAUGGAUACAGCCCUAAUUGGGUGGUAAAUUCCAUAUAAGGCUGAAUACGGGUAAGAGACCCAUAGCCAACAAGUACUAUGAGGGAAAGAUCAAAAGGAAUUUGAAAAGAGAGUCAAAGAAUGCUUGAAAUUAUCAAGAGGGAAGUCGAUAAAGGUUGGCAAUGUGCCUUAGUCAAAUAUAGAAUGGUGAGAGCCAGUCCAUCGAUCUUUUCAAUGCAUUGAUUGACAUGAGUCAUAGUGGUAGCCCAAGCUUAGGCUUUUGAUAUGCUUGAAAAGACAUUGUCACCGUAAUCAUGGAAUGCAGCACACACUAUCUCAAUAUGCCCUAACAUCAGCAUGCUCUCAUCUUGAAACACAAACUAAAGAGUUUAACAUGUAUGCAAGUCAUUGGGCUAGAAAACCUAUAAUGCAUAAGAAAGUUAAUUGGUAAGAUCCCUCAUGGGUGCACUAUCGACUGACCUUGAUCUUUUAAGAAGGGUUUGAAUGUGAGCAUACUGUCAGGACUCAAAAGAUAUUGAACUAUGCCUGAGCGGGGCAAUGCUAGAGGAAACUCUUAUAGAGGCCCAUAAUGUACUGAUGUGCAAAUUAUUCCUCUAACUUGGGUAUAGGGGCAGAAGACUAAUCAAACCAUCUAGUAACUAGUUAACUUCAAAGUUUCCCUUAGGAUAGCUAGAGCCUUUAGUGAGUUUUAUCGAGUAAAGCCAAUGAUUAGAGGCAUCGAGGGUGCAAUGCCCUUGACCUAUUCUCAAACUUUAAAUGGGUAAGAUGGCAUAGCUGAUUUAUUGAGCCAUGCCACAAAAUCAAGAGCUCCAAGUGGGCCAUUUUUGGUAAGCAGAACUAGUGAUAUAGGAUAAACUAGAAGUCAAGUUACGGUGCCUAACUACGUGCUAACCUAGAACUUAGAAAAGGUGUUGGUCAAUUAAGACUGUAGGACAGUGGUCAUGGAAGUCAAAAUUCUUUAAAGAGUGUGUAAUAACUCACUUGUCGAAUCAACUAGUCUAAAAAAUGGAUGGCACUUAAGUGCAUGACCUAUACCUGACUGUCAAGGAAAGGGCAGGCCUCGAUGAAUAGGAAGGCACAGUGGUCAUUGCAAAACCCAAGGUGCAAGCCUAGGUAGAGUGGCCAUUGAUGCAGAUCUAUUAGGUAGUAGCAAAUAUUCAAAUAAGAACUUUAAAGGCUAAAUAGGGAAAAGGUUCCUCAUGAAUGACACUUGCACAUAGGUUAGUCGAUCCAAAGAGAUAGGGCAAGCCCAUUUGAUGGCAUGUCUGAUGCGAGCCUCAAAAGGGAAUCAAGUUAAAAUUCCUAAACUUGGACACGAUGACUGAAGGUGACAUUAAGGAGUUUAGAGAUGUCGACAGGGGCCUCGAAAAGAGUUAUCAUUUUUGUUUAACAACUUAUCCACCCUGGAAUGGGUCAACUAGAAGUAAGGUCCAGUGACCAAAAAAGCACCACACGUUGCAUGGUUUCCAGUUUGCCCUUGAUGGCCUUUGAAAAUCUAGGGGACUUAGUGCAAUCCCUACCCAGUCAUGCUCAUAACCACAUCAGGUCUCCAAGGUGAACAGCCUCUGAUCGAUAGAACAAUUUAGGUAAGAAAAGUAGGCAAAAUGGUUAUAUAACUUUGGGGAAAAGGAUUGGCUCUUAAGGCUGGGCACAGGGGUCGCAGUCCCAAAUUGUUGACUACUGGUGCACUACUCGAGCUACUCCUAUGAUGAUAGUGGGUUAUCACAUGCCGACCAGGGAAUAGAUUGGGAAUAGCUCCCUUGGGGGCCUUCAUCAGGUAAUGAACAAUCAACUCAAAAUUGGUACAAAUAGGGGGAAUCUGAUUAUUUAAUUAAAACAAAGCAUUGUGAUAAUCCCUACGGAUGCUCACACAAUGUGAUUUUUGUCCAGUGCUUUGAAUGUCAAAGUGAAAAAAUUAACCAAGCACGAGUAAACGACAUGAUUAACUAUGACUCUUUUAAGGUGGCCAAAUGCCCUAUCAUUGAAUUAGUGACGCACAUGAAUGGAUUAAUGAGAUUCUCACUAUCCCUAUCUACUAUCUAAUGAAGCCACAGCUAAAGGAAUGGGUUUGGUAGAAUUAGCGGCGAAAGAAAACCUUGUUAAGCUUGACUCUAGUCUAACUUUGUGAAAUGACUUGAGAGGUGUAGGAUAAGUGGGAGCCCUAGGAUGAAAUUGAAAUACAAUUACUUUUAAUGUUAUGUUACUUAUUCCAUGAAUUGGAGAUGGGGCAUGACCCUUUCUUUUAGACCUAAACCUAGCCUCGAUCGAUCAAUCCGGGCAAAAGACAUUGUUAGGUAGGGAGUUUGGUUAUAGUGGCACAACUAUUAAAAGAUAACACAAGUGUCCUAGGAUGAGCUCAAUGAGAACAAAAAUGUCAUGUGGAACAAAAGGGUAAAAGCUCGUUUAAUUUUAAUUUCUAUUACGACUACAAACUAUGAACGUGUGGCCUAUCAAUCUUUUAGACCUUCAAAAUUUGAAACUAAAGGUGUCAGAAAAGUUACCACAUGGAUAACUAGCUAUGGUAGCCAAGCAUUCAUAGUGACAUUACUUUUGAUCCUUUUAUGUUAGCUCUUCCUAUCAUUGUGAAGCAGAAUUCACCUAGUGUUAGAGUGUUCACCCACUAAUAGGGAACAUGAGCAGGGUUUAUAUCAUCAUGAGAAAGGUUAGUUUUACCCUAUUGGUGGUAGUGUCACAAUAGUAAUUCAACCUAAUACAAAAUGAACUAUUGAUUCACAUAAUUGGUCAUCAAACUUUGUUGAAAAGUUAAAGGUUGAAGCUACCAUGCAUUGGAUUAUGACUGAAUGCCUCUAAGCUAGAAUUUGGGCUAGAAGCAACGUAAAGGUUUUUCACCUAAUUUUUGACCCACUGAUGUGUCAUAGGUGUAACUUCAGCAAUAGACAAGCCACACAAGCCUUUGUGAAGCUCAAUUCCCACCGUGUGGUAGGUAGAAUC